AAAUUAUCAUCCACCAGAAUGUAGCACGAAACUACAAAGGAAACUCACGCACGGGUUUUGGCAAAAGAUUCACGGUU
rnacentral:lncRNA from 1 species